rnacentral:tRNA from 1 species
CAAAGGGUAGUUUAGAUAAAUAUUAGUUUUGGAAAUUAAUGACAAGAAUCUCUUUCCUUUGA